UACGUAGGGGGGCAAGCGUUGUCCGGAUUUAUUGGGCGUAAAGAGCGUGUAGGCGGCUGGGUAGGUCCGCUGUGAAAACUCGAGGCUUAACCUCGAGACGUCGGUGGAAACCAUCCAGCUAGAGUCCGGAAGAGGAGAGUGGAAUUCCUGGUGUAGCGGUGAAAUGCGCAGAUAUCAGGAAGAACACCCGUGGCGAAAGCGGCUCUCUGGGACGGUACUGACGCUGAGACGCGAAAGCGUGGGGAGCAAACAGG
rnacentral:rRNA from 1 species